GAUCAUUACAGAAUGAAAAGUGCUUAACUGCAUUUUUUCUUACACAUGUGUUUUUCUCUUUUUGAAAACUUUGCUUUGGUAGGCCUUCUAUAUGGGGCCUGCCAGAGAUUAAACUCAACCAAAUUUUAUUUAAUGUCAACCGAUUAUUUAAUAGUCAAAACUUUCAACAACGGAUCUCUUGGUUCUCGCAUCGAUGAAGAACGCAGCGAAAUGCGAUAAGUAAUAUGAAUUGCAGAUAUUCGUGAAUCAUCGAAUCUUUGAACGCACAUUGCGCCCUUUGGUAUUCCAAAGGGCAUGCCUGUUUGAGCGUCAUUUCUCCCUCAAACCCUCGGGUUUGGUGUUGAGCGAUACGCUGGGUUUGCUUGAAAGAAAGGCGGAGUAUAAACUAAUGGAUAGGUUUUUUCCACUCAUUGGUACAAACUCCAAAACUUCUUCCAAAUUCGACCUCAAAUCAGGUAGGACUACCCGCU
rnacentral:sRNA from 1 species